UACAGAGGGUGCGAGCGUUAAUCGGAAUUACUGGGCGUAAAGCGCACGUAGGCGGCUUGGUAUGUCGGGUGUGAAAUCCCCGGGCUCAACCUGGGAACUGCAUCCGAAACUGCCUUGCUCGAGUAUGGGAGAGGGAAGUGGAAUUUCCGGUGUAGCGGUGAAAUGCGUAGAUAUCGGAAGGAACAUCAGUGGCGAAGGCGACUUCCUGGACCAAUACUGACGCUCAGGUGCGAAAGCGUGGGGAGCAACA
rnacentral:rRNA from 1 species